AGUGGGGAAUAUUGCACAAUGGGGGAAACCCUGAUGCAGCGACGCCGCGUGAAGGAUGAAGUAUUUCGGUAUGUAAACUUCUAUCAGCAGGGAAGAAAAUGACGGUACCUGAGUAAGAAGCCCCGGCUAACUACGUGCCAGCAGCCGCGGUAAUACGUAGGGGGCAAGCGUUAUCCGGAUUUACUGGGUGUAAAGGGAGCGUAGACGGAAGUGCAAGUCUGAUGUGAAAACCCGAGGCUCAACCACGGGACUGCAUUGGAAACUGUGCUUCUAGAGUGCCGGAGAGGUAAGCGGAAUUCCUAGUGUAGCGGUGAAAUGCGUAGAUAUUAGGAGGAACACCAGUGGCGAAGGCGGCUUACUGGACGGUAACUGACGUUGAGGCUCGAAAGCGUGGGGAGCAAACAGGAUUAGAUACCCUGGUAGUCCACGCCGUAAACGAUGACUACUAGGUGUCGGGCAGCAAAGCUGUUCGGUGCCGCAGCU
rnacentral:rRNA from 1 species